AUGUGGGCACAGACAGACCCUUGGUUCUCGGAAUACCUCCUAGGGACCGGCAAUGGGACGGAAGAAACAAUUGGCGACGACUAUGUGCAUCUCCCUGAAGACAUUGUGAUUGCUUAUACCGACGAUGAUGAACCUAUUAACAAGCUUAUCGAAGAUGUCUUCCCAUCCCUUCACACCAAUGCUAGGUCGAGAGCGUACAUGAGCACACGUGCAAUUCUCUCGACCAAAAACGAGCAUGUGGAUGACCUGAAUGACAAGAUGAUCUCCAGGUUUCCGGGCGAAGAAAAGGAUAAUGCAAUCGAUGCAGAGAUUGUUGGUGGCCAGCAUGCUGGAAAGAGGGUGUUCAUACCUAGGAUCCCUAUGUCGCCCUCGGAGAACACCUCACUUCCC
rnacentral:rRNA from 1 species